rnacentral:rRNA from 1 species
GAUGAACGCUGGCGGCGUGCCUAAUACAUGCAAGUCGAGCGAACAGACGAGGAGCUUGCUCCUCUGACGUUAGCGGCGGACGGGUGAGUAACACGUGGAUAACCUACCUAUAAGACUGGGAUAACUUCGGGAAACCGGAGCUAAUACCGGAUAAUAUAUUGAACCGCAUGGUUCAAUAGUGAAAGACGGUUUUGCUGUCACUUAUAGAUGGAUCCGCGCCGCAUUAGCUAGUUGGUAAGGUAACGGCUUACCAAGGCGACGAUGCGUAGCCGACCUGAGAGGGUGAUCGGCCACACUGGAACUGAGACACGGUCCAGACUACUACGGGAGGCCGCAGUAGGGAAUCUUCCGCAAUGGGCGAAAGCCUGACGGAGCAACGCCGCGUGAGUGAUGAAGGUCUUCGGAUCGUAAAACUCUGUUAUUAGGGAAGAACAAAUGUGUAAGUAACUAUGCACGUCUUGACGGUACCUAAUCAGAAAGCCACGGCUAACUACGUG